UAGCUGUUUGUUGUUUCAUGCUUGGC
rnacentral:piRNA from 1 species